rnacentral:rRNA from 1 species
AACGAACGCUGGCGGCAGGCUUAACACAUGCAAGUCGAACGCAUCCUUCGGGGUGAGUGGCAGACGGGUGAGUAACGCGUGGGAACGUGCCCUUCAGUUCGGGAUAACCCAGGGAAACUUGGGCUAAUACCGGAUACGUGCGAGAGCAGAAAGAUUUAUCGCUGAAGGAUCGGCCCGCGUCUGAUUAGCUAGUUGGUGGGGUAAUGGCCCACCAAGGCGACGAUCAGUAGCUGGUCUGAGAGGAUGAUCAGCCACAUUGGGACUGAGACACGGCCCAAACUCCUACGGGAGGCAGCAGUGGGGAAUAUUGGACAAUGGGCGCAAGCCUGAUCCAGCCAUGCCGCGUGAGUGAUGAAGGCCUUAGGGUUGUAAAGCUCUUUCGUCCGGGACGAUAAUGACGGUACCGGAAGAAGAAGCCCCGGCUAAUUUCGUGCCAGCAGCCGCGGUAG